rnacentral:rRNA from 1 species
CACUGCUCUGACGGAUGCUUUUAUUAGACCAAGCCGCUGAGGACUUGAGGGUUCGCUCUCCUGUCCGACUCGUGUAAUGGUGACUCUGGAUAACCAAUUCUGACAAGCGCACGUACUUCUCUUCUGAGCGAGACGGCGCUGCCACUUUCGAGUGUCUGCCUUAUCAGCUAUCAACCGUUCGUUAUGCGCGACCGAUGGCUUUGACGGGUAACGGGGAAUCAGGGUUCGAUUCCGGAGAGGCAGCCUGAGAGACGGCUACCACGUCCAAGGACGGCAGCAGGCACGCAAAUUACCCAAUCCCAGCAAAUGGGGGAGGUAGUGACGAAAUCUAACGAUGCGGGCGCCCUUUCUGGGGCCCCGCAAUCGGAAUGGGCACUUUCUAAACAACCUGUUGAGAACCUACUGAAGGGCAAGUCUGGUGCCAGCAGCCGCGGUAAUUCCAGCUUCAGCAGCAUCUAUUAAAGUUGCUGCGGUUAAAAGGCUCGCAGUUGAAUGUCUGUAUCGAGCGCAGGUCAGGUGGACGUUGGGGCGUGGAAGUACGGGCAGUUGGAUGUCCGUGGGGCCUUCGUGCUCAACGGCUCCUUCGGCUUUUCCACACACCCCCGUCCGUGACAAGCCUCCUCGCUCGGGUACAUAACGGGAAUCGGUCAAACGGAGUGUGGUUGGAGGUUGGGGUGCGUGGCUUCUGUUGCGUGCUUCUUCUUUCGGCUGCGUUAAGCUCCAUCGGUUUCACGGUCACCUUGAGUAAAUCAGAGUGCUCAAAGCAGUCGUAGGGGCCUUGCGCCCUGUGAACAGUCUUGACGGACUGACUUGGUUUUGCAUGGCAUGUCGGAAGACGACGUCGUGUGCUGGCUCAGAGGAUAAAUCAGUGGUACAAGCCAGCCUCGACGUAAUGAUUAAAAGGGACGGUCGAGGGCAUUGGUAUUGCGAGGCGAGAGGUGAAAUUCUGUGACCCCCGCAAGACCUCCUGAAGCGAAAGCGUCUGCCAAGGACGUUUU